GCAAUGUUGAUUAGAAGCCCUCCUGAAAAGAAUCCAGCUGACAAACGUCAUCUUGCCCAAGUAAGGGUCACCAAUCUUGCCUCUGAAUUACAUUUACAUAUUGUACUGUAGAUCUACAUCCACAUCUUACACUUCUACAUAUAUGAAAUGACUUUAAAAAUAAAAACAUUUGGAACUACAUUUCUUAAUUUAUAAUCCCUGCACAAUUUUGCAUCAUUCCCCCUCCAGAUGAUCGAAGAUAUCCUAAAGAGCAGCCCUGGAGGAGAAAAGGUCUUAAAUGAAUAUGCCCGCACCAAAGGUCUAUCAGAUGCCCGAAGACGUGACAUGGUGAAAAUCUUAGUAGCAUAUCUGACAAAUGAACAUGGGAGCAUUACUACAAUGCAGAAGAUGGAAGUGGAUAUUUGGCAUGGAGGAUUAAAACCCUGCAAAAAGAAGCAUCAGAAGGACGGAUGAAGCGUGCCCGGGAACCACAAACAGGUGGGCCAACUGCUGACAGACAUCCCUACAAAGAAGACUCCUUUCUGACUGAACACCAACAGUGUCAGGAAGCAAUAGCCCUAAUGAAGCAUACUGCUGAUGAGUCAGUGGUAAAGGAAAAGAUGAAGUUAACACUGCGCUAUCGCCAGAAACUACUGCACGACCCUAAAGAGUCAACUAAUAUUCUAUCA